rnacentral:rRNA from 1 species
AGAUUGCCUCAGUACGGCGAGUGAAGCGGCAACAGCUCAAAUUUGAAAUCUGGCCGCAAGGUCCGAGUUGUAAUUUGCAGAGGAUGCUUUUGGCGAGGUGCCUUCCGAGUUCCCUGGAACGGGACGCCAUAGAGGGUGAGAGCCCCGUACGGUUGGACCACCGAGCCUCUGUAAAGCUCCUUCGACGAGUCGAGUAGUUUGGGAAUGCUGCUCUAAAUGGGAGGUGUACGUCUUCUAAAGCUAAAUACCGGCCAGAGACCGAUAGCGCACAAGUAGAGUGAUCGAAAGAUGAAAAGCACUUUGAAAAGAGGGUUAAAAAGUACGUGAAAUUGUUGAAAGGGAAGCGUUUAUGACCAGACUUGGGCUUGGUUGAACAUCCGGCGUUCUCGCCGGUGCACUCUGCCAGUCCAGGCCAGCAUCAGUUUGUCCCGGGGGAUAAAGGCGGUGGGAAUGUGGCUCCCCCGGGAGUGUUAUAGCCCGCCGUGCAAUGCCCUGGGACGGACUGAGGAACGCGCUUCGGCACGGAUGCUGGCGUAAUGGUCAUCAACGACCCGUCUUGAACCACGGACCA